GACGAACGCUGGCGGCGUGCUUAACACAUGCAAGUCGAACGGAAAGGCCCUGCUUUUGUGGGGUGCUCGAGUGGCGAACGGGUGAGUAACACGUGAGUAACCUGCCCUUGACUUUGGGAUAACUUCAGGAAACUGGGGCUAAUACCGGAUAGGAGCUCCUGCUGCAUGGUGGGGGUUGGAAAUUUUCGGCGGUUGGGGAUGGACUCGCGGCUUAUCAGCUUGUUGGUGGGGUAGUGGCUUACCAAGGCUUUGACGGGUAGCCGGCCUGAGAGGGUGACCGGCCACAUUGGGACUGAGAUACGGCCCAGACUCCUACGGGAGGCAGCAGUGGCGAAUAUUGCACAAUGGGCGGAAGCCUGAUGCAGCAACGCCGCGUGCGGGAUGACGGCCUUCGGGUUGUAACCCGCUUUCGCCUGUGACGAAGCGUGAGUGACGGUAAUGGGUAAAGAAGCACCGGCUAACUACGUG
rnacentral:rRNA from 1 species